rnacentral:rRNA from 1 species
GACGAACCGUGCGAACGUUGUUCGGAAUCACUGGGCUUAAAGGGCGCGUAGGCGGGCCAGCAAGUCCGGGGUGAAAUCUUUCGGCUCAACCGGAAAAGUGCCUUGGAUACUGCUGGUCUCGAGGGAGGCAGGGGUCUGUGGAACUUCUGGUGGAGCGGUGAAAUGCGUUGAUAUCAGAAGGAACGCCGGUGGCGAAAGCGACGGACUGGUCCUCUUCUGACGCUGAGGCGCGAAAGCUAGGGGAGCAAACGGG